GUGUAAGUGGUGGAUGUUGGUGCAUUCACUCUAGUACUCUUUACUCUUGUCAGUUAAAAGCCUAUCUCCAAAACAUGACAGGAAUCUCUGCGUCCCGGUAGAUCAUAGGUUGUAUCAGCGUUGGAGAAGAGUUUCCAAAAGCCAAGACUCUUAAUAAACUUACCUGUGCUGAAAAACUGUGAACUGAAGAAACUUCAAAAGGAACUUCUUGAUACCAAUAAAACACUGGAUCUACCAGGACACCGAACAGAAGGGACUGCAUUGGUAUAC